UUUCUAGGAUGCCACUGUGCCAAGUCACCCUGCCUUGGACCCAGCCAAAAUUUUAUUGUGACUGAUGGUAUGGGCAGCUAUUUUGAAGAUGACAGGAUAUAUGAAGUACAUGAGGAGAAGCCAGUGCAUCGUUACUACUCCAGAAGUACAUUUCCUUUAUAUCAAGAAGUAGUGACAAGUAUGGAAGACUCCAUAUGACGCAUGAAGCAGUAUUUUCCAGUCUAGGGAUUGUGUUGCACAGAACUGAGUAAUUUUAGUAACACCACCUGCAAGUGAUUUCCCCGGCGAGCCUUCCUCUGGAGAAAACUCCUUCUCUCUCUCCUGGGCAAUAGGAAUCAAGAUUAUUCUUUCAUCUUGUGAAAGAAAUUAGCCAGGUGUUACAGCUUCUCUUGCUUUCGGAAGCUCUGGCUUGUCUUGAACUUGCUGUGAAUCAGUCCAUGGAGGCUUCUAGCUUAGUUAGACAGGCAUGGCCUAAUACAGUUUACAAGUGCACUAUAAUUUGCAUCUGUCCUUGUUUGGUUAUGCUUGACCCAGUAGGUUAAAUAGAUAGCUUACUCCUGUAUCCUACAAAUUGUCAAGCUGGGGCUCUAGGACUGUAAUGGCAGCUGCACAACUACCCAGACCUCCUGCUUAUUACUCUGCCAUAUCUAUGUAUAAUCCAGUGCUUUAUACACACGCCAUUGGUCAGAAUCUUGUGAGAUGGCUCUUACAUGCCCACACUUUGCUGAAAUGAAAGUUUAGAAAUAAUGCCAUGCUGGGCAGCCAUGUAAAGAAAACAUGAAGACUGGGACAACCAGUUAUUUCUGGCACUACGCCCAAACAAUAAAAGUCUUUAUUGUCCUUUG